GCUGGUUCCCUUGUCACAGAAAGCUGCCAUUUUGUGUAUAUAUUUUGCGUUGUGAAAUUUUGGUACUUUGUGACUUAGAUACGGUUCUUAAUACUUUUAAGCAGUUUUAAACAGUUUUACAACAUGUAUUCCAACUUGAUAGUUAAAGAAUUAAAGGAGGAGUUGAAAAAACAUAGUGCAUCUUUACGAGGAAAAAAAGCGGAUCUUGUCGAAAGUUUCCAUCUUGCUGCAUCUCCUGAUGGUAUGUUGGGCGAAGAAACUAUAAUCAAAGUGAAAUGUCCAUACGCUAGCAGAAAACAUGAAAUUAAUAUAACAACGGUGCCUUACCCGGAAAAAUGCAACAGGAUAUUGUCUCUAAAAAAAACCUAGCCAUAUUAUUAUCAAAUCCAAGGACAGUUAUACUCCUCAGGCAGAACAUACUGCAACUUGGUCAUCUACAGCUACAAGGAUAAUUUUACAAAUAAUAUUUCAAGGAUACCUUAUAUGACAAUAUUUUCAAAUAAGCAUUGUAUGAAAAAUAUCUGUACUAUAACUGUGCACACUUCUCGAAAUAAAAAAUCAAUAAUA